rnacentral:rRNA from 1 species
GACGAACGCUGGCGGCGUGCUUAACACAUGCAAGUCGAACGGAAAGGCCCCUUUGGGGGUACUCGAGUGGCGAACGGGUGAGUAACACGUGAGUAACCUGCCCUUGACUUCGGGAUAACUUCAGGAAACUGGGGCUAAUACCGGAUAGGAAUCCUUGCUGCAUGGUGUGGGUUGGAAAGCUUCGGCGGUUUUGGAUGGACUCGCGGCUUAUCAGCUUGUUGGUGGGGUAGUGGCUUACCAAGGCUUUGACGGGUAGCCGGCCUGAGAGGGCGACCGGCCACAUUGGGACUGAGAUACGGCCCAGACUCCUACGGGAGGCAGCAGUGGGGAAUAUUGCACAAUGGGCGGAAGCCUGAUGCAGCAACGCCGCGUGCGGGAUGACGGCCUUCGGGUUGUAAACCGCUUUCAGCAGGGGCGAAGCUUGUGGUGACGGUACCUGCAGAAGAAGCACCGGCUAACUACGUG